UCCAGGGUAGCCUAGUGGACAUGGCAUCUGCCCGGUAAGCGGAACAUUGUGGGUUCGAUUCCCAUCCCUGGAU